GCUGUAGCUCAGUGGUAGAAUAUCUGCUUUGCAUGCACAAGAUCCCAAGUUCAAUCCCCGGCCUCUCCA